rnacentral:rRNA from 1 species
GACGAACGCUGGCGGCGUGCUUAACACAUGCAAGUCGAACGAUGAAGCUGGAGCUUGCUCCGGUGGAUUAGUGGCGAACGGGUGAGUAACACGUGAGCAAUAUGCCCUUGACUCUGGGAUAACUGCGGGAAACUGUAGCUAAUACAGGAUACUUUCUCUGGAAGGCAUCUUCUGGUGAAGAAAGAAUUUCGGUCAAGGAUGAGGUCACGGCCUAUCAGCUUGUUGGUGAGGUAACGGCUCACCAAGGCGACGAAGGGUAGCCGGCAUGAGAGGGGAAACGGCCACACUGGGACUGAGACAGGGCCCAGAGUCCUACGGGAGGCAGCAGUGGGGAAGAUUGCACAAUGGGAGCAAGCCUGAUGCAGCAACGCCGCGUGAGGGAUGAAGGCCUUCGGGUUGUAAACCUCUUUUAGCAGGGAAGAAGCGAAAGUGACGGUACCUGCAGAAAAAGCACCGGCUAACUACGUGCCAGCCGCCGCGGUAA